rnacentral:rRNA from 1 species
UACGAAGGGUGCAAGCGUUAAUCGGAAUUACUGGGCGUAAAGCGCGCGUAGGUGGUUCAGUAAGUUGGAAGUGAAAUCCCCGGGCUCAACCUGGGAACUGCUGUCAAAACUGCUGAGCUAGAGUACGGUAGAGGGUGGUGGAAUUUCCUGUGUAGCGGUGAAAUGCGUAGAUAUAGGAAGGAACACCAGUGGCGAAGGCGACCACCUGGACUGAUACUGACACUGAGGUGCGAAAGCGUGGGGAGCAAACAGG